rnacentral:misc_RNA from 1 species
GAUGAAGAACGUAGCGAAAUGCAAUAAGUAAUGUGAAUUGCAGAAUUCAGUGAAUCAUCGAAUCUUUGAACGCACAUUGCGCCCGCCAGCACUCUGGCGGGCAUGCCUGUUCGAGCGUCAUUUCAACCAUCAAGCCCCCAGGGGCUUGUGCUGGGGCCCUGCGGCUGCCCGCAGGCCCUGAAAACCAGUGGCGGGCUCGCUAGUCACACCGAGCGCAGUAGCACAUCUCGCUCAGGGCGUGCGGCGGGCUCCUGCCGUGAAACCCCCCACUGUAACCCCAAAGGUUGACCUCGGAUCAGGUAGGAAUACCCGCUGAACUUAAGCAUAUCAAUAAGCGGAGGA